UGAGUUGGUUAGACAAUCGCUGGUUUAUUGAAGCCCUCAAAUUCGCAUUGCGUAAACUAGGGGACAAGUAAACGAGAGGAAAGUCCGAGCUACACAGGGCAGAGUGCCGGAUAACGUCCGGGGGGCGUGAGCCUACGACCAGUGCAACAGAGAGCAGACCGCCGGUUUUCCGGUAAGGGUGAAAGGGUGCGGUAAGAGCGCACCGUGCGGCUGGCAACAGUUCGCAGCAGGGUAAACUCCACUCGUAGCAAGACCAAAUAGGAAUCCAAUGGGUGGCCCGCUCAGGAUUCGGGUAGGUUGCUUGAGCUUGUGUGUAAAUGCAAGCCUAGAGGAAUGAUUGUCCACGACAGAACUCGGCUUAUCGACCAACUCACCUC
rfam:[Actinobacillus] muris strain Ackerman80-443D cont17, whole genome shotgun sequence.